UUAUAUUUUUUUUUUUUUUGUUCAGCAGGAUCGAUGGGGGCGUCCCUAAAUACAUCCAAGUAGUAGAUUUUUAUUUUCUCGGAGAGAUUUCUCCUCCAAAAAAUAAAAGAGUGACGCAGGGAAAGUAUCUGGUGGGCAACCUCCCCUACAGAGGGAGUAACCCGUGGAAACCAGGUCUUAUUCCCGCAUAUUUGUUAUCCCACAUAUUAGAAUAAUAAAAGACCUUUUGGUGUCACUAUUGGAUGGGCCCCCGCGGCAUUAGUUAGUUGGUGGGGUAAUGGCCUACCAAGCCAGUGAUCCAUAUCCGCCCUGAGAGGGUGAUCGSCCCCACUGGGACUGAGACGCGGCCCAGAUUCCUACGGGAGGCACCAGUAGGGAAUCUUCGCCAAUGGACGAAAGUUUGACGGAGCACCCCCGGGGGAGUGAAGAAGGUUUUCGGAUCGUAAAACUCUGUUGUUAAAGAAGACCAAGUGGGAGAGUAAAUGUUCACCCCUUGACGGUAUCUAACCAGAAAGCCACGGCUAACUACGUGCCAGCAGCCGCGGUAAUACGUAGGUGGCAAGCGUUGUCCGGAUUUAUUGGGCGUAAAGCGAGCGCAGGCGGUUUUUUAAGUCUGAUGUGAAAGCCCCCGGCUCAACCGGGGAGGGUCAUUGGAAACUGGGGAACUUGAGUGCAGAAGAGGAGAGUGGAAUUCCAUGUGUAGCGGUGAAAUGCGUAGAUAUAUGGAGGAACACCAGUGGCGAAGGCGACUCUCUGGUCUGUAACUGACGCUGAGGCUCGAAAGCGUGGGGAGCAAACAGGAUUAGAUACCCUGGUAGUCCACGCCGUAAACGAUGAGUGCUAAGUGUUGGAGGGUUUCCGCCCUUCAGUGCUGCAGCUAACGCAUAAGCACUUCCGCA
rnacentral:rRNA from 1 species